UCAUUAGCAAUGGCAAAUUUGCAAUGUUCUCUAAAUUUCAAUGUACUUGUGUUUAACCUAUGCGGUUGCAUGCACCCUGCCACAUAUAUGCAUGCUCUCAUGGUUUAUUAUAGUUGGUCUAUAUGUUAAGGACGAGGUGUAACACCCCAAAAAUUGUUUCCUCGGAAAUAGAGCUAAAACGAUUUAAUUUUGUAUUUUUGUGUUCAUGGAAUAUAUAGAAAUAAUAUUUUUUCAUUAAAUUAAAAUUUAUUAUAGGAUUUAGCAACUUGUUUGUGCAAUCAUUUUUGGGGCAUUUGUUUUAUUGUUUGGUGUGGAUUUAACUAAAGAUCAAAACAUUUCAAACAGAUUUAAAAAGGAUUUUGAAAUAAGUUUGAAAUGGCUUUUAUAUAAAAUAAAACAAAAGAAAAGAAAAAAAAGAGAAAAAAGGAAACAUCUCCCUCCAUUUGUUUUUGGCCCGAGAGGCCCAACCAAAUCCCCCCCUCUCUCCUCUUCCCUUGCCCCCCCCCCCGCCCAGUUUCCCCGCGGCUCAACUCCUCCCCAGCGCGGCACGACCCACUUUUCCCCAGCCCAGAGCGCACAUCCCUCUCUCCCCUGGCUGACGAGCGGGUCCACGCCACCAGUCACCGACAGGUUGGCCCCACCCGUCAGUGUCAUCUCCCUUCUUUCCUUCUUCCUCCCUAUCUCGCAUACGAGCCGGACUCUGGGGAGAGUAUCUCGGUCUCGAUUCCUUGUGUUUUGGGUUUGUGCCUUGCGCUGAGCCCCUUUAUGAGCUUUCCGCACACGUCCACUGGUGCCCUAUGAAACCCAAGUGUGCCACCACCUUGCUUGUAGGGCGCCGACAUCGUCUUUUGGAUCACGCCGAGGAGUACAACGCCGCUAGGUCAUCUCGUCGCUUCUUUGAACCCGUGAGUCCUCGGUCGAGCUUCACAUCGACUUUGCGAAGCCCCCGGACCCCUUUCCCCCUCAUUCUUUGCUUUGGUUUAAUCUAAUUUGAGCGCCGAACCCUCUGCAGGCGCACUGAGCCGCCACCCCGCGUGGUCUCAUCUCUUUGAGCUGUCCCCGUCCUUUAUCUUGGUCUUGGUGAGUUCGAGACGCCCCUCUCUUGCUCCCCAUGCUCUCAGAUUUGAGAUUGGUGCUCUAGAAUGCCGUCCCAACGAACUCUAGUGAGGCUCCGAGCUUUCCGGCCAUGGCACCACCGGCCGGAGCUACUGCGGCCGGCCGGCACUCUCUCUCCCUCUCCGUGCAACGUUUCUCAGCCGUCGGAUCCGAGAUCAAGGGACAGGAAAGAAAGAUACCCCUCAGUUUUCUUGAGAUUAGAGCCCGCGGUCCAUGACGCGUUUCCGAAAGUACGCUUUGUCCUUUUGAAAGCGUAAACCGUUCAGUUUAGGUUCAAAAUACGUUUUCUGAAUUUACAGUUUUGCCACUAGUAUUAUUUUAGCCAUAAAAUGUUCGUUUUAAUUCCGUUUUGACCCAUUCAAAUUGCGUUAGGUUCGUAUUAAUGACCUUUACAUGUUAGUAAAAUUGUUUACUCAGUUUGAAACCUUUUUAAUUUUGUGACCUUAAUUAAUUAAUUAUUCUUCUAUAGGAAAAUUUAGAAAAUUCAUAACUUCUACGUUUUAACUUUGAUUUUCGCGAUCUUUGCGUCUAUGAAAUCGUAGCGAUGCGUAGUUAUUUUAUAAACUUUUCAUACUGUUUUUAUAUGAUUGGUGUACUGUUCUAAUUGUAGCCUUGUUUGCUUAGUGUAUGUUUUCUCUGUUUGUUUGUGUGAUCGAUGAUCGAGUUUAGCCGGUAAACAAUUCGUGGUGAUCAAGAGUGCUUCAGUGAUCAAGAUCAGAGCCUUGGACAAGUGAGACCAACAGAACCAAAAGGGAUAAGCAAGAGCAUUUGGAUCAUGGCAAGUAUAGCAUUUGGAUUUUAUUUCUGUGACCAUGAUCCUGUGACUAGAUUAAUAUUAAGUAAUAAACGAUAAAAAUGACUUUUUAGCAACUUGAUGAUUUGUCUGUACGUGAUCACCCGGGACAACAGUGCAACCAUGAGGGCUAUAAUGGCUCUGGCUUUAGCUCAGUAUGAAGACCUUGACUAGCUUGUUAGAGGUUACCCGAAAGGGCGGAGGGGCUGAACCGUUUUGGGUAUAGUGUGGCCUCUGUCUGUAUGUGUAUAGGCUGCGCGUCAUUGUGCCAUCGGAAGGGGGCUCUAUAUCUGCGCGCAAAGGAAACCUUGCGGAUGUUGACAUUCGUUAAGUGCAAUAAGAAUAAGAAAAAUUCCGCAAGCGCACAGAACAUUAUCGUAGCAUUUUACCGGGAGUAUUCCAGGUAUCGUUAUUUAUAUUUUACCACUGGGAAGCUAAGGUCAAAGAAUUUGAUAACUUACUAUCAUGCAUCUACUAAUUUAAUAAACCAACUAGACUAAAGUAGGGGCUACGAUAAAUGCGUAGAUAGCCAUAGCGGUAGGACAACGGGAGAGACCUAGGUUCCUGUAUACUUCUCUAUUACUUCAGUUCUAUGAUAACAAAGAAUGAAUAGAUAUAACAAUCACAUAUUAGCACUUUGGGACAUCAGAACACCAACCACAGAAAGAGAUGAGAAGGGGGCUGGGAAGCUCUGACUACGGUCCUACAAACACCGAUCCGAACGAGGUGGAAUACGUCGACCUUUAGGGCUGUCACUACCCUAGGGCUACCACAACAAUCCGUAGUACUGGGUGCAACCUCAGGUAACCUCUAGUAUAGACACCACGUCUACACUAACGAUUACUACUCUAAUUACCAUGAAUAACUAGAGCACUCGAUGCGAACGGAGAUCCUAUGCCAAAAUAUAACAACUACACUACUCGAUAAUAAUAAAGUCAUAAAAGUAAAUAGAGAAGAUAAAUAUAUUAAAGCAUAAGUCUUACAAUAAAUAUAAAGACAUAUCAAAACUCUGAAGACUUCUCCAGAACCAGAGCGCAGCUCCGCUCUCCCUAACUCCCGACUAGAACCCAUCUACUACAUUGGAAUGUCUAGCCCUAAUUCUCUAUAGAGGAAAUGUUAUCCUUCGAGGGCACCUCUCAACUCUAUAAUGAUAUGUUCUCCUCCAGGGGCCAGGGGCCUUGCUUAUAUAGUCCUCCUCCUUUGUGCGUUUUUGGUUCAGCAGGCGAUGUGGUACUAAACUUUCCACCAUAUCUCAUUAAAAUGAACAUAGGCCUUAAUGGACCAAAAUCUGAUUUGGGCCCAAUUAAUCCCACAGCUCUUUUAUGUGGAGUCCUUCUUUUAUUAAUAUCUCUUGAUUCCGAACUCCAAAUAUAGCAAAUAAUAUAUGCAUUUCGAUCAGCUCGACGAGAUCUUUGUAAUGGUGUACUCCAUUCUGUGAUUGGUGCUUGUACCAGGCUGGGCGCCCUAGGAUCAAGGGCGGGCGCCCUGGUCCCAGGCCCGUCUCGGCUCCGCUUCGGUCGAGUUGCUUCUAGAGUCUUCCUGAUUAUGGAGAAUUACCGCACACACUAAUUCUCUAUGUAAACCCGAUGUGUGGGCCUUUCCUUCGUAUUUCCUGAUAACCCCCUGCAGAAAUAGACAAACACCAAAACUCGUGGAAAUCUGUCAGAUGAAACCCUAAGUCUAGGUGUCGGUUGCAUUUGGAUCCUUUUUCAUGAUUAGUUGACGGUUAAAUAUGGGCUUUAAGGACCGUCAACAGUGGCCCUAACAUGUUAGACGAACUUUUGAAAGGCUUCAUAGUGAUCCCUGCCGACCUUCCUUGGUAGUGGGUUAAGAGGUCGACGGGCCUCGGGCGAAAGGGUAAAUCAUGACUCAUGGGUAAAGAUGUACAACCUCUGCAGAGUGUUAAAACUAGUAUACUAGCCGAGCUCACGGUCAGGAGCGGCCUUGGGGACAUCUACAUUAAGGGCGAUGAAUCUUGUGUGUUAAGUAUACUCAUUGUUUAUUGUUUAAUGCUCUACAUUAUUUAUGUCACAUUGAUCAUGAGAUUGUGGGAUAUAUACAAUCUAGUUGCUAUACUUGUUGAGUUCGACAUGGACUCACUCUUGCUAUUUCCCCCACACUUCAGGAGAUGUUUUAGGCUUGUGAUCAACCAGUCAGUUGGAUCCUGUAGAGAGAAGUUAAUACCCGAAGUUCGGAGUUGUCUAUCCGUUGUUUGGUAUCAAAGGUUAUAUCUUUUAUAUUAAGUACGUUAUAUAUUUAUGCAUUGUCUUUUGAUAUUACCCUUUAUUUGUAGCUAUAUGUGGGAUUUGACUUCUAAAACUCACAUAUGGUGCGUAUCUGAUUUUAUCCUUAAAAUCGGGUAUUACAAAGUGGUAUCAAAGCAAUGCUGGCUGUAGGACGCAAGCCUAGUUAGAAAUUGGUCGUCUUAAGGUUUUAGAAAUUAUUAUAGCACCCUUGCUCUAUAAACCUUGGUAUUUUCCUCUAUACUAUAUCUCUACCCUUGCUAUUCCUCUCUACCUUGUUGCUUAUUUUAAAAGUAUACUUGUUCUCAUCUUCACUCCUUGAUUUGAUAAGCUUUUAGAGUCUUCUCUUACCACCUGCUUACGUAGUUGAAAAAUAAUUUUAGGAUCUUUACCCUUAUUAUGAAGAAAACGAUAGUAUCGCAAGUUGAGUGAAGUGUGAACCCUCAAUGCUUAAUUGGUUUGUUAUUAUGUUUAUGCUUGAUUUCGAUCUUUGUAAUGAUUGCAAUGAACUUGUGGAUUUUCUUCAUAAUUUCAUUUAGUUUAUAGGCCUAAGGCAUAAGGAUUAAUGAAAUACGUAGUUGGGUUUGGCUAUCUCUUGUUUAUAUCCCUUGCUGAUUUCUGGAACAGUCUGUGAUGCUUCUAGUGUAUCUCAAGUUUUGUUCAUGCAAAGUCUAUCAACUUUUUCUAGAAACAACUAGACUUCAAUAUCUUUCUAUGACCGCAAGAAUCACCCUCAUAGCUAUUAUGAUUCGGAAGUUACAAAAAUCACAAUAUGAUACAGAUGGGCUGUCAAGAAUCUGGACCAGUUUCGGUUGCUUACUGUUUAGACAUAUAUAACUAUAUAAUUUGGAAAAAUAUUCUAUAGAAAAGUUGUAGACGAUUUGCUAAUCUUUCCAACGGUAUAAGCUGAAACUUAUUUGGAUAAGUAGAACCUGAGAUAUGAUAUUUACAUCUGGAUGUUUCUGUUCUAUUUCAAAAUCUGGACAGAUCUGGUAUUCCCUAUUUUCAGAUACCUUAACGUCAGAAUCUGGGAAAAAGUUGUAUACAAAAGUUGUAGAGGAUUUUCUAAGAUUUUCAAAUAUGUAAGGAUCAUCUCCAGAUGAGUUAAGUAGCUCGGGAUAUAACUUCUAGAAGCUGCUGCACCUUUGCUGAGACAUUUUGAGGAUGGAUAUUAAGUUUGGUUGUUUUACCUAAGCUUAAAGACAGAAUCUAAGGAGGUCUUCUACAGGAAAGUUUCUGGGAAUUUCAUAAUUUUUCUAACGGUAUAAGCCACAACUCUAUUGAAUUCAUAGAAUAAGAGUUAUGUCCAUUUUACUACGCUGGUGUUUUUCAUAUCGCGAGGAAAUUUCAGGAUACCUGUUUGCUCUAUUGUACAUAAGUUCUUUGGAAUGUCAGAGGUUCUCAAUGUUAGUUAACUUGUCUGGAAAAUAUGCAAGCUAACUUUCUUGUGUCCCCUAGUUGACCCUUUUAAGGGGGUAGCCCAAUUAAAGGAGUUACAAUGAGACGGAUUGGCUAGUGUUGGAUCAUAUGUGAGGAUCACAGCGCUUGGUAAAUUGGUUUUGAUUCAAGAUAUCAUCCCAUUCAGAGAAUAUUAAUGGAGAUAUAUGUCAUUGCUGAUACUCAUGGAUUGAGAGUUAUGGUUAUGAGGAUCAGAUGACACAAAAGGUUAUGAAGUGAUAUGUACAGUAUGAGAGUGAAACAACUUAACCGUGAUAAAUGUACCGAUAAUUGGAACUUAGUGAUGAAACUAACCUUGGAUCAAGAGACUCGAUACAACGAAUGUAAAAGACUAUGAUGUGUAGCGUCCAAAAAGGAUAGGAGAACUAGUCCUUGGUGUCCCCCAAUCAAUCUCAUUCUAAGGGGGGUAGCACCUUGAUAUUACGGAAUGAUGCAUUAUAAAACUAUCUUGAAGUGAUAAUUGUCGUCUCGAGAUAUUCUAUUGUUAUGAUCAACUAUCCUUGCCAUGUUACUAACAUUGGUCAAUCGAUGACAGGGAGUGUAGUGUCCCAUGGAUAGGUGGGAAGAGUAUGAUCUUCUUGUCUUUGAGGAAAGAUGUUAUGAGUAUGACAAGUUGAGUGUUAUCAAAAUAAUAAUACAGAAGAGCAAGUUGACAUUGAAUCAAAUCAGAAUCCACAACGAGGAGGCCUUUGAUAGUUCAAACCCCAAUGGGAGAAAAUACAGGCAGAUCAGGUUUGCUCAAAUAUCAGUCUUGUCAUAAGCAAGGAAAACUUCACUGUAAACCUCAUUAUGCUAGAGUCACUCGAUAUUCCCUUGGUUCUUGGCAAUGGAUGGUUAUGUGCACAUAAAGGAGUGAUCUAUGCUACCCAGUGGAAAAAUUUUCUUAACUGCACAUCAGGGAAAAGAAUUGAGUAGCAGGGUGGUCCACUCCUACCUAAGGAGGCACAUCCAUGCUAACUUAUCAUGUCUUUGAGUUGUAUAAGUCAGAAAGUUGGUAGUCAAGAUGGACCUUGAUCAAAUACGAAUAAUAGACAUUCUAUGGAAACCUUGAUUCACAAGUUGUGAUCUCGAGACAUAAGUGCUUGCAUUUGGAAUACAAGUUGUGAAGUUGAAAUAGUGAUCAAUAUCUUGUUCUUGUUUUCUCUUCUGGAAUCCGAGCCUCUUCCGAAUCUCGAGGACGAGAUUCAUUUUAAGGGGGGUAGAUUUGUAACACCCUAAAAAUUGUUUUCUCGGAAAUAGAGCUAAAAUGAUUUAAUUUUGUAUUUUUAUGUUCAUGGAAUAUAUAGAAAUAAUAUUUUUUUCAUUAAAUUAAAAUUUAUUAUAGGAUUUAGCAACUUGUUUGUGCAUUCAUUUUUGGGGCAUUUGUUUUAUUGUUUGGUGUGGAUUUAACUAAAGAUCAAAACAUUUCAAACAGAUCUAAAAAGGAUUUUGAAAUAAGUUUGAAAUGGCUUUUAUAUAAAAGAAAACAAAACAAAAGGAAAACAAAGAGAAAAAAGGAAUCAUCUCCCUCCAUUUGUUUUUGGCCCGAGAGGCCCAACCAAAUCCCCCCUCUCUCCUCUUCCCCUGCCCCCCCCCCCCCCGCGCUCGGCCCAGUUUCCCCGCGGCCCAACUCCUCCCUAGCGCGGCACGGCCCACUUUUCCCCAGCCCAGAGCGCACGUCCCUCUCUCCCCUGGCUGACGAGCGGGUCCACGCCACCAGUCACCGACAGGUUGGCCCCACCCGUCAGUGUCAUCUCCCUUCUUUCCUUCUUCCUCCCUAACUCGCAUACGAGCCGAACUCUGGGGAGAGUAUCUCAGUCUCGAUUCCUUGCGUUUUGGGUUUGUGCCUUGCGCUGAGCCCCUUUAUGAGCUUUCCGCACACGUCCACUGGUGCCCUAUGAAACCCAAGUGUGCCACAACCUUGCUUGUAGGGCGCCGACAUCGUCUUUUGGAUCACGCCGAGGAGUACAACGCCGCUAGGUCAUCUCGUCGCUUCUUUGAACCCGUGAGUCCUCGGUCGAGCUUCACAUCGACUUUGCGAAGCCCCCGGACCCCUUUCCCCC
rnacentral:lncRNA from 1 species